UGGGGAAUAUUGGACAAUGGGCGCAAGCCUGAUCCAGCCAUGCCGCGUGAGUGACGAAGGCCUUAGGGUUGUAAAGCUCUUUUUGGCGGGGAAGAUAAUGACGGUACCCGCAGAAUAAGCUCCGGCUAACUUCGUGCCAGCAGCCGCGGUAAUACGAAGGGAGCUAGCGUUGUUCGGAAUCACUGGGCGUAAAGCGCACGUAGGCGGAUGUGCCAGUCAGGGGUGAAAUCCCGAGGCUCAACCUCGGAACUGCCUCCGAUACAGCACGUCUCGAGUCCGGAAGAGGUGAGUGGAAUUCCUAGUGUAGAGGUGAAAUUCGUAGAUAUUAGGAAGAACACCAGUGGCGAAGGCGGCUCACUGGUCCGGUACUGACGCUGAGGUGCGAAAGCGUGGGGAGCAAACAGGAUUAGAUACCCUAGUAGUCCCUGAGCGGGCUGGCAAGGCGCAU
rnacentral:rRNA from 1 species